rnacentral:rRNA from 1 species
UACGGGGGGGGCAAGCGUUGUUCGGAAUUACUGGGCGUAAAGGGCUCGUAGGUGGCCAACUAAGUCAGACGUGAAAUCCCUCGGCUUAACCGGGGAACUGCGUCUGAUACUGGAUGGCUUGAGUUUGGGAGAGGGACGCGGAAUUCCAGGUGUAGCGGUGAAAUGCGUAGAUAUCUGGAGGAACACCCAGGGGGAAACCAGCCGACUGGGGAUGUGCUGACGCUGAGGUGCGAGAGCGUGGGGAGCGAACCGG